AGGGGGCGGGGUCUUAGCGAGCCCCGCCCAGCUUGGGAAGUAAGUACUGCGCGUGCUUAGUUUCGUUGUGCGGCUGCAUCCUGAGGCGGUUCAGGGACCGGAUUUGGUUAGAGGAUGCUGAGCCGGGCUGAAGUCACCCAGGGCGGUCAUCCCUGACUCAUCUGAAGAGCCUUCUGUCUCCUCACCCUAUUACUUGUUUAGCUGGGACUUUCAGGGAAGAUUCCUCAACCUGGGAAUCUUUAACAGUGAUGACUUUGCCAUAGAAGAGAAACCAGAAGUUAGUCCAUCGCUUUGAUAUUAUGGAGGAAUAAAUUACAUCUAGAGAGAAAUAGAUUUACUUUUCUUGAGUUGCAAAUCUGGAGAGAGCAAGAGUGAGCGAGCACGAGAGAAAGAAAGGCAAGUCCAGAGGAAAGGAAAGGAAUAGGGGUGCAGAUGGGGAGAUUUCAGAGUCAGAGCCCUUGCCAGGGCCUCUAUCCGUGAAGAGGCUGCCAUGAUCUCCCCAAAGGACUUGCUUCAUUAUGGCUCAUCCCAUGGCUGUUUUUCCACCAGACUGCCAGGCUCACAGAUUGUCUUCCCUCCCUUUUCAUCCCAUCUCCUUCUCAUUUCAAGUGUACCUGACUUUGCCACAGCCCCUAAGGCUGGACUUUGUUUCUCCUGGUCACAAAGGGCUGCCGUAAUAAUUGAAUCUCCGCAGUGAGAGAGGCACGAGCCUCCAGAGUGCUCCUCUCCCUGUGAGGUAUGAAUACCAGCCUUCCGGAAACAAUGUUCUGGUUUUUCUAAAUCAGAAAAAUGACUUGAUGGUGGAAUGUGAAUUUCUGCAGGAAGGUGUGCACAGAACAUGGCAGGUUUUGGGCAAGUGGCUCAGCGUGCAUGUCCUCAAAUAGAACUUCUGUAGCUGGACCACACAGUCUAUGUAGAAUUUCUCCACACACUGAGAGCCAAAAACAUGGACUCUUAGAACACAUUUAACUGAGGCAUAACAGAGGGAGAAAGACUGUCACUAAGCGAGGACACACAGUGGUGAGGAGCAUCCCGGGCCCUGUAGUCUACAGAUAUGGCACCAUGCCAGUGCUGUGCAGAGACAAGUAUUUGCUGUGGAGUAAGAGCUUGUUCAGGAUAUUUUGAUUCCCCAGAUUCCACAGUUAGAUUUGUCCUUUUAUUGGCAGAAGGAGUUCAUUUCCUCGCUUCAUCAGCCUUCUGUUCUUCCUAAUUAUAAAGACUCAUCAUGGACCCGCUCCAUUAGCAUCCUCUAGCCAUGUAAAAAUUUCCUUACCCUUAGCAUUUCUUUCUCUGGAUAAAACUAUCUGGUCUAGCUGCGAGAGGCAAGAUUAAUUAGUUUUUCAGAGAACAACGUUACUGAGUCCCACUGAUGUUUUGAGUACUAUACAGAUGCUGUAUUUUUGGGUCUUCAGAGCGCCUGAUGUGGGUUUGCACAUUAGGAUAAUUCUGCCCAGGGAUAAAACCUAUGCAAUUCAAGUUUUAAAAAGCACAUGCAAAACCUACCAGAAGCCACCGCAUUUAUCAGCAGGUUUCGUAUGAUUGUUCAGUAAAAGCUCUGUGGGUCUGUACAGGUCACCCCCCCCUCCAAACUCCAUCAGAGCCAGCACCCCCCCAGCCCCCACCUACAGUCAGGAGGAUACAACUGCAGACGCCCAGGAGAUGGGGAUGGCAGCCCAGGAAGGAGCAGCAGAGAGCGGGCUCUUGAUUGUGCAAAACUCAUGAAAUCUCUCAUAAAGAAGUUAGUAGUCAGAACUUCAUGCUGCAUUUUUAUUCAGGAAAGAAGCAGGAAGAGAAGAGUGUCAUUUCCUAGGAAUCUGGAGAAAUGAGGAAAAUUCUUCCAAGGAGGGUCUCCCAUUCAGAGUUGAGGAAGCUUUUCUGUUCAGCUGAUGCAGUAUGCUUUGAUGUUGAUGGCACAGUUAUCAGAGAAGAAGGAAUUGAUGAGCUAGCCAGAUUCUGUGGAGGCCUGCAAAAUCCCUCCAGAACAAAGCUCAGCCUGCGGCAUGACUCAGCAAUACAGGGUCUGCGUGCAUUCCCGGCUCUGGUAGCUUCUACAGAAUGGAAGGAAGUUUGUUUCAGCCACACCAGGGGGCAGUGUGACACACGUCUGCAUGGCCAUCAAGGCAGGCCUUCCUGUUUAGUGAAGUUAGACAAAGAGUGCUGGAGACGUGACACAUGACUAGACUAAGAAGAGAAAAUUUCUCCUGAAUAUUUUGUUCUCCUAGCACCCAGUUCCAAUAAGUUUGUGAAAGCUGACGACUAACCAUCCCGAGAUGAAAGACAUCUUUUUCCAUCCUUCUGCCUCUUGUCGUGCACCACGAUGAUAUUGUAGUCUCUGAGUAGACACAAAAAGAGAAGACUUAAUGAUAACAGAUCAUAUCCUAUGGAAGCAACAUCCUUAUGUCAUAGAAUAAUGGCUUCUUCUGCCGAUUACAAGGAGACCUGCUUUUUCUGACUAUUGAGCCUCUCAAAAGCGGACUUGCUGCCCUGAAUUCCUUGAGGUACUAUAUGGAAUCUGUCCUCAUAGCCCGGCCUGAGUAAGAUAAAAGAGCAAGGAGCCCAAAGUGCUGCACAGUGUGGAGGGAAGAUUAAAGUUAAUACUGAAGGACAAGGGAGGAUAACAUGGAAUGAACAUCUGAGGAAGGACUGGAGGAAAAAGCAGAUUGCAAAUCUCAAGGUAGAGGCCUUCUUCAGAGAAACCACGGAGCUCAGGCCUGGAUGCGAGAGGGAACAGGACCACGCCUUCAGCAGGAGUGAACCUCCCAGGGUGCAGGAGCCUUCCUUGAAGUGUAAUCUUGCCAAAGCCAAAACACACACAAACAGAAAUCAACAAUAUGUGCAUUACGCCUGUUAUACCCUACACCAUCACCAUCACAAGUCUCAGAAUCAUCUCACUGGAUUCAAGCUUUGUAUAGCCCCUUUGGAUUGUUGUCUCAGUCUGCUGGCUUGUCACUUUGGCUGCAUCCCUGGAAGCCGUUGCUCAGGUCACUCUCCAUGUUCUACAGUUUGGAAUCCAGUCCUGCCUCACAUCCAAGACCAGCCCAGGGCCCUAGGGCCCCAGCACACAUUGAGGAUGCUAGACUUCUUUCAUCCUGGCAAAAAAGACCAGGCAUGGUGCUCUGAGUUCCUGGGGGAUUUCAGCAACCUGAACUCUUGUCAGAUCUCUGCUGCCCACCUGCCUGUGUUCUAAGCAGAGUUUUGUCAACUUGUUGUCCUUGUUCUAAGGAUCGUCAACAAGUGCCUUUCUUUAUAUGCAGAUGUGUCCAGGUAAGAUGAAUAGGAGGUGCCCACCAUAGAGACAACUGCACCUUUGGUAUCCUACCUAGGCUUUGUUCUACCAGGCAAAUGUCUACUGUCCCUGGGACCAAGGCCCUCUGCAAGAAUACAUGUGGCAACUUCUGAUGGUGGCACUUCAGUAUCCUUUUUUCCUGAUGAGAAUCCUUAUAUUUUCUGUAAGUAAGAUUAUGGAGCCCUGCCUUCUCCAGGACUCUGAGGUCUCAGCAUGGUAGCCUCUAAGACCACUGCCUAUUCCCACUGAUCUCUGAGUUCUUUGUCCUAGAGUGUCUGGAUCUUGUCUUCUCCUGGAAAGGUGAUGCAUGGAAGGUGGCCUUGAAAAUUGUAUUUUACCAAGAUGACAUUUAGCCUGUGUGUUAAGUUGCAGCCAUCUUCUGGUAUCUUGUGAAAACUGUGUUCUGUGACUUUUGGUCUUAACCUAUCAGGAUGAUAUGCCAAGGAACUCUCUUCAUGGAGCAUUCUGAGAACCAAUGAUCUGGAAUAUCGUCUACAUACUUCUGUGCCAUUCCUGCACUGCCUCUGAGAAAACCUAAAGAAAUGUGAUUUGGGGGAUCUCUUUAAUGGAAAUCCUGGUCCAAUUUCUGUUCUCCCAAGGGACUCUCUGAACCUACAUCUCCAGAAAGCCUUUAGAAAUGAGCUACUUCUUUUGGAAACAGGAGUUUCACAGCAUUGAGGUGACCUCUGAGGUGGUGAGUCAGAGGGACAAGAUGAAGCCCACCAUACUUUGAAGGCACCCUGUAGGAACCUGACUCUGACUCUUGUGGGAUGAAUGAAAAGGAAGUGAAAAGAUGGUAAAAAGCUUCUUUCUCAGCAUGUCAGAGAGCACGCAAAUGCCUCAUAGCCCCAAACACUGAACUCUUGGUAAACUACAGCUUCGUCCUUAUGCCAAAAUGAGACUUCCUACCCCCUCCCUUGGAAUUACCAAUAGCCUGGGAUGAGCUUGAUUUGAAUUUUCAUCAAUAGUAAAGGUGGGAAGCUGCUGUCUUGGGAUUUAAAGAGAACCCCUGGCGAGUAUGUGGGGAAGAGACACUAAGCUUCCCCUAAUCCAUCAAGCCCCAUUGUUAAAGAACCUUUAAUUCUGGACUGCCACUGAACACAGAAAUGAACUUCAGUUUUAGUAAGGGAGAUCUAGUGCCCACAUAGGAUGUCUUAUUAUGCAGGAAUUGGUUAAUAUGGCACACAGGAAACUCUUGUUGAGGUUGGGAGUGGAGCAAAGACAUGGGUAGCUCAAAAAUAUUUUUAUCAGCAAGGAAUAGCUUUAGUUUAGAUGUAAAGCAAGAGAAAACAUGAAUUAGACUAUUAAUACUAAGUGUUUCCAUUAUUAACAUUCAUGGUGUUGCUACCUCUUAACAGAAAAAAAACAAUUUGUGGCCCAAAAGUUGGUCAGCACCAAUAUUUAUGGAUCAUGCCAAAACUGGAUGUGAGUCUAACUUCCUGAGAGCUUACUACAUGCAUUUUUAAUAGUUAGAUCAUAUGAGGAAAUCAGCAUGUCUAUUAUUAAAAUAGAAAAGCUGAGUGUUAGAACACUGAUUUGGAGAGGAAGAUUUUACAAGACAAAUUCUGAACAUGGGAACAAUAAUUCUCCCUUGAGCAGGAGAAUAAUUUAAGAUAAUUUAAUAUAUUAACAAACCUGUGGUAGAAUGUUAAAAAGGAAAAUCUAGCUAGUGAUAAUGUGAGAGACCCAAUGGGAACAUUCAGAUUUGAGCAAUAAAUCAUUUAGAUACAGAUGAUCCAUAAACUUAUUAGAGAGCUCCGAGCAGCAACAGAAAUCACUGAAAGAAAAAGAGCAGGAAAAGUUUCAGAGAGAUUACUUUUGCCACAAAAAGCGUGGUGUGUGUGUGCGUGUGUGUGUGGGUGUGUGUGUGUGUUUGUGUUUUAAUCUAAAUCCACUUAAAACUCUAGCGAUACUGGAGGUUUCUUAAGGUAUUGUACUAUUACCCCUCCAAAGAAAGCACUGCAAAAUUUGGAGCUUUAAGCCCCUCAUAUGGAAAGACCCUUGAUGAGUCUCAUUUUGGAAAGAGAAGUUCAAGAGAAAUGUAGAACCUUAAUGAAAUGUUUGAACAAUUACUCAAAAUGUGUUUAGCACCUCUCACAUGGAAAGCAUCACAUUAGGGAGUUUAUGGGCUUUCAAAGGUUGUGGCGCUUCAGGAAGUGAGACAGAAUACUUAUAACCAAGCUGAUAAAGUGCUGAAGCUAUAGAUAAAGUAGAACCUAAAAGCUAUUAGAGUGCAGAUCGGAGCUGACUAUGUCCGGCUUUGCACAGUGGUUGUCUCACUUUGGGGUUAGGGUUUGAUUACAUGUGGUUUACUGGAGACUCAGUCCUGUGAAGUACAGUAAGCAGGUGAGAAGGUGAGAUAAGGAAAGGAGGAAAGUCUGUAGCUUGUUGGCUAAGUAAGUUGGUUACCACUAUGGCCUCCUGGGUACUAUCCUACCGAAAACCCCCUUCAUUGGUUGAUGGUUCCCUAGGCCCAUUGUGCAAGUGGUGGGAUGGCUGAAGUCAGAGAAUGGCCAAGUCAUCCUGGCCAUGUGAUGAUUCAGUGCUUCCUCUGUGCUGAAUCUCUCUGGUGGGGAAUGGCAUGAGACAUAUGGACAGGCUGAAGCAUUUACACUUUUUUCAGAGACACUACACAGCCACUUAAAGAUUUGGAGCAGGCAAGUUGCCUACUCACAGCUGUGCUUUCUCCUGAGUAUCUCUAAACUAAUGGCUGGGACACCACAUGUUGUGUAAGGUGACUCCAGUUUUCUCUGCCACUCAGGUAUCAGGGGCUCCUCUUCUUGGAACUGAGACCUCAGGACCACAACCUUCCCUCUGUGUCUUAUCGGUAGUCAUGUGCACUGAGGUUAGACAUUUUCGAAGUGACAAAUCUACUUUAUUCUAGACAUGCAGAUAAGGGAGCAAACUAUACAGAGAGGGACAAUUAUGGGCCCACAGAGUAUACCCAAGGCAUAGUCUGAACAGAUUAGUUUCCUUUAAUUCAUCUCUCCUUCUGAACAAGAAUGUUUUCCACACAUCAAAGUCAGUUUCUUUUUUACCAACGAACGUCUCUUGUGGACAUUUCUAUUCUCUACCCUGUCCCUGCCCUAGCACCGACUUCUAAGUGACAUGUUACCAUUCCCUCUGAGCCACAAGUGGAAGCUAGAAACCUAUUCACGUUCUCAUUUCUUGACCCUGCCUGGGGCAGCUUCUUCCCUGGCAGUUUGAGCAGAAAGAUUCUUCCUGGAUCUGAGUUUUCACUGAGCUCAUUUUUUUUUUUUUCAUUCUCAGCCUUCCAUCUGGACUCUGAAAGCUUCCCAUUUGCUUAUGAAGAUCCUGAAGCCAUUCUGGCUUUAAGCAAAUAUUUGCUAAACACCUCCAAGAUCUAGGGACCAACAGAUGAAGACAUCCUUCUUGUUUUCUCAACAGAAAUGAACUCGACACACAGUUCAGUUUAAAUCAGGAGACAUUUGUGGAGAAUCUGCUAUGUGCCAGAUACUCUUUUAGAGUUGGGGAGAGUGGAAGUAUAAGAAUGCUUUGAGCUGUGAGGAAAGGAAGUCUAUCCAGAAGCUAGAAAGAAAAGUGUACACUUCAAUUAUAUAUAUA